CAAGUUAGGGCCACGAUGGACAGCUUCCAGAAAAAAAAAUAAGACAGUCCCAAGACAAUGGAGAGUAAAAUUGUAGCAGACAAGUUAAUACUCUUCACACUUAUCCUCUCCCUCAGCACUAUCCAUCGUCCUCAUAAUCCUUCUCAAGGGCAGCCAUGUCCUCAUGGGCCUCAAAAAACUCUCCUUCCUCCAUGCCUUCACUCACAUACCAGUGAACAAAGGCACACUUGGCCUAUAUCAGGUCAAACUUGUGGUCUAGGUGAGCCCAGGCCUCACCAAAUGGCUGUGGUGUUGCUCAGCAAGCAUACACCUCACUAUACUUUGGCCAGGUCUCCACCUGGUACCACAGUGGGAGGCAGGGAAUUAAUGCCAACUCUGAAGCCAGUGGGGCACCAGUCCACAAACUGGAUGGUAUGCUUGGUCUUGAGAGUGGCAGUGGCAGGACUGACAUCUAUCGGAACCACGUCACCAAUGGUACAACAGGCAGCAAGCCAUGUAUUUACCAUGGUGAGGGUCACAUUUCACCAUGUGAUUGGCUGGCUCAAAGCAUGCUCUAGUGAUCUCUGCUACAGUAAGCUGUUCGUGGUGGGCUUUCUCAGCAGAGAAGUAGGGCCGUAUGUGGCCAGAGGGAAGUGGAUG
rnacentral:lncRNA from 1 species